ACGCUGGCGGCAGGCCUAACACAUGCAAGUCGAGCGGUAGAGAGAAGCUUGCUUCUCUUGAGAGCGGCGGACGGGUGAGUAAUGCCUAGGAAUCUGCCUGGUAGUGGGGGAUAACGUUCGGAAACGGACGCUAAUACCGCAUACGUCCUACGGGAGAAAGCAGGGGACCUUCGGGCCUUGCGCUAUCAGAUGAGCCUAGGUCGGAUUAGCUAGUUGGUGAGGUAAUGGCUCACCAAGGCGACGAUCCGUAACUGGUCUGAGAGGAUGAUCAGUCACACUGGAACUGAGACACGGUCCAGACUCCUACGGGAGGCAGCAGUGGGGAAUAUUGGACAAUGGGCGAAAGCCUGAUCCAGCCAUGCCGCGUGUGUGAAGGAGGUCUUCGGAUUGUAAAGCACUUUAAGUUGGGAGGAAGGGCAGUUACCUAAUACGUGAUUGUUUUGACGUUACCGACAGAAUAAGCACCGGCUAACUCUGUGCCAGCAGCCGCGGUAAUACAGAGGGUGCAAGCGUUAAUCGGAAUUACUGGGCGUAAAGCGCGCGUAGGUGGUUUGUUAAGUUGGAUGUGAAAUCCCCGGGCUCAACCUGGGAACUGCAUUCAAAACUGACUGACUAGAGUAUGGUAGAGGGUGGUGGAAUUUCCUGUGUAGCGGUGAAAUGCGUAGAUAUAGGAAGGAACACCAGUGGCGAAGGCGACCACCUGGACUGAUACUGACACUGAGGUGCGAAAGCGUGGGGAGCAAAC
rnacentral:rRNA from 1 species